rnacentral:lncRNA from 1 species
CGCCCAUGGAGGUCAAAGUCCACCUCAAAGGAUUACAAGAAGCAUGUUCAAAGCUUUGGGAGCUAGAGAACAUUUAUUUUCUCUUUUUGUAAUUUCUUUAGUUGAAGGUGCUUAGAGGAAAACAUUAGAAACCUCUUUUGUUUUAGCAUCUUGUAGGUUUUAAUUAGGAGCUUUAGGGGGGUGUAUUAGUAGAGAGGUGUAGAAGUAGAAUAGGAGGUGCCAUAGGAUGUUUGUUUUAGGCGCCGGUUUCUAUAAUAGUUUAGGAGGGAAUUUUAAAAUGUUUUAGCUUAGUUUUUCAGCACCUUAGGCUAUAUAUAGAGGUGCUCUCUUUGUAAAAUUCAGAUUGGAAUUAAUCUAAGAAAACUCUACUCAAAUUUUGAGUGACCUUUGGAGAGCUUUUGGAGCCUUCUUCUCUAGUCUUAUCUUGAUGGAUCAAUGGAGUCCUCAAGUGGCGG